AAAAAAUUAGUUAAAUUUAUAACAUUAAUUUGUCAAAUUAAAAUUAUUUUAAAAAAUAUUUUUUU
rnacentral:tRNA from 1 species